rnacentral:rRNA from 1 species
CCUACGGGUGGCAGCAGUAGGGAAUAUUGCUCAAUGGGGGAAACCCUGAAGCAGCCACGCCGCGUGGAGGAUGACGGUUUUCGGAUUGUAAACUCCUUUUGUUAGAGAAGAUAAUGACGGUAUCUAACGAAUAAGCACCGGCUAACACCGUGCCAGCAGCCGCGGUACGACGGAGGGUGCAAGCGUUAUACGGAAUCACUGGGCGUAAAGAGCGCGUAGGUGGGAUAGCAAGUCAGAUGUUAAAUUCUAUGGCUUAACCAUAGAACUGCAUUUGAAACUGUUAUUCUAGAGUAUAGGAGAGGUAGGUGGAAUGCUUGGUGUAGGGGUAAAAUCCGUAGAGAUCAAGAGGAAUACUCAUUGCGAAGGCGACCUGCUAGAACAUAACUGACGCUGAUGCGCGAAAGCGUGGGUAGCAAACAGGAUUAGAUACCCUAGUAGUC